AUUGAACGCUGGCGGCAGGCUUAACACAUGCAAGUCGAGCGGGGGAAGGUAGCUUGCUACCUAACCUAGCGGCGGACGGGUGAGUAAUGCUUAGGAAUCUGCCUAUUAGUGGGGGACAACAUUUCGAAAGGGAUGCUAAUACCGCAUACGCCCUAAGGGGGAAAGCAGGGGAUCUUCGGACCUUGCGCUAAUAGAUGAGCCUAAGUCGGAUUAGCUAGUUGGUGGGGUAAAGGCCUACCAAGGCGACGAUCUGUAGCGGGUCUGAGAGGAUGAUCCGCCACACUGGGACUGAGACACGGCCCAGACUCCUACGGGAGGCAGCAGUGGGGAAUAUUGGACAAUGGGGGGAACCCUGAUCCAGCCAUGCCGCGUGUGUGAAGAAGGCCUUUUGGUUGUAAAGCACUUUAAGCGAGGAGGAGGCUACCGAGAUUAAUACUCUUGGAUAGUGGACGUUACUCGCAGAAUAAGCACCGGCUAACUCUGUGCCAGCCGCCGCGGUAACAC
rnacentral:rRNA from 1 species